UCCUUUCUCACAACUUGUCUCUCUUUAUUCUUGUUUACAAUGACACUGCAUUAUUGACUAUCAGUGCGAUUUUUUUGUAAAAGUUAUAUAUAUUAUAUGCAAACUUACUACUAUGUUCACCAGAGAUCUUUUGAGAAAUCUAAAGGGCCAUAAGGAUGAGGAUAUUCAAAAAGGUCAAGCAGUAAAAAAUCAAAGGUUAUGAAGCUUUUUAAUCAGCAUUUUAUCAUUCAAAUAAUGCAUCUUUACCUUAGUUCAAAUUUGAUAUUUCAUUUUUCUAGUGACCUCUUUCUAAGAAAUGUAGCAAAAAGGUUUUUUGGUUGCCGAAGACUUUUGCUUUGUGAUCUAAUAGUAAGGGAGCAUAUUGGCUCUGUUUCCAUGGUUGUUCCCCUUUCUAUCACCCUCUUCUCCUAGACCAUUUCUGACUAUAGUGAGAUGGCUUGCUGAUAUCUUUUCCUAAUCGUGUGAAAGGCUCUUUGGGACAAAACACUCGAUCUCAAAUUCUUGCUGCAAAAAGCAUUCUCUAGUUAUAACAGGCUUCCACUGGUUCAUUUUGGAUUCUGAUAUAAAUAAGCAUUAUUCAAAUUUUAUAUACUUCAUUAAGAUGUUGUAUUCGGAAGAAGAUAUGUUAUUUGCAGGAACCAGUUAGGUCCUCAUUCUUUGAUUCUGAUAAUGGAGUUAGUGAAGCGUACUCUGAUCUAAUCACUUCCUCAAAAUGGACCUUGGAUUCCAUACUGGAGUUAAACAGGUGUGGCGCUAAUGAAAAUAUUCCUUUCUCACUUUAGUUUAUAUUUUAGCCCUUGUUUGGACCCAUUUCUAAAAACUUAUUUUCAACCACACAUUUCACCAACUUUUUGCGAAAAUCUACUAAAAAUCUAAUUUUUAUCCAAACCUAACAUGGACUAGUAAGCUUACAUAUUUUGCCUCCUAGCUAUGCUUUCUCAUCUUAUAAACAAUUGCCCUUUAAUUUUACUUCUUGCCCAUUUAUGUUUUGACCGACGCUGGUUGAGAAUAAUCCUUCAAUUGCUCAAUCCAUAGAUGGUAUGAUAUGUUGCUACAAAUUAGUCUUUUUUAGUCUUUUCUUCUCAGUACUAAUAUAUGAGUACUAAAAUUACUACCUCAUUUAAGCUUGUUACAUCUGCUGUGCUGUUGAGAAUGUCAUUUUUUUAAGAACUUGGUAAAAGUGUAUUUAAAAUUUGGUUUUGCUUGAUAGAUUAUCUCAGUUGACUUGCACAGCAUAUUUACAAAGCUAGUUGGGACUGCAGUAUGUCAAAAAAAUGACUAUUACAACCAUUUGAUUUCCAUAAUAAUUUAGUAAUAUUGCAAUGUGUAACAUCUCUUGCGUGCUGUCCACAAAUAAUGGCCUCCGCAAAAAAUAAACAUUUAAUUCCGAAGUGUUCUUCCUUAAGUACAUUCUUAUGCAUUAAAAAAAUCGUUUAGUGCUUAUGAUGAUGUUCAACGAUGUAGGCUGGUAUUGCAAUCACUGUUGCAGGUCAUAGUACAACCAGUAACCAAGUGAGACUAAGAAGCAAUAAGCGACUGAUGAGAUGAGGGUUUCUCUCUUUCUUGGAAUCUUUCUAUCUAUAUCAAUAGACAGUAAAUAGAUAGCUAAGAAGAAAAGAGUACAAAUGUUACAAUGGUUGAAUGGCGUGCAAAUUGAUGAUUCUAAUUUUUCUGACUUUUGGUCUUUAUCAUCUUUUGUGACCCUUAGUAAGUGAGGUCCAAUGUUGACCUAACUAGUUUUUUGUGCCAAUCGAUGAUAGAGCACAAAAUUAGCAGAGUAUUUUAUUUUUUCUCUAAUUGUAAUCCUAGAAUAGUUAUCUUCUUAUUUAGCUCAUUUUAUUUCCUACUGUAUAGAGAAGAUUAGUGGACUGACUUUACUAGAUUGGUGGGACUGAUUCCUCUUGCCAAUAUAUAUACUUCUAAUCAUCCCUGUCAAUACAUAUUGAAAUAUUCAACCUCUUUAUGGUAUCAGAGCACUCUCUAUCUUGAAUAGAGUUUGAUCCUCUUGCCUACCUUAGCUGUGUUCUCUCUUUUUAUCGCAGUAAUGGAAAACUCCCAGACUCCUAUCACAAAAGCAACAGCUUCAACAACAGUCUCUCAACCGACAAUUGUCUCAACACCUAUAAAAGCCAUUGUUGAAAGUAAUAUGUUUCCUGCCAAUGGAAAUCUAAUAUCCCUUAAUAGCUUUUCUCAGAUUCCUUUCAAGCUUGCGAAAAAAUUGUGGAAAAUAUUCGUCUUGGAAGUCCCAAAUGAGUAAUCUUCUCUUUGGCUAUGGCCUCCUUGGGUUUGCUGAUGGAACUUAUCCUUGCCCAUAGAAAACUGAUUCUAGAUAUCCCUUCUGGACUCGUCAGGAUCGUCUUGUGCUACUUGGAAUUCAGGCCACCGUUCACAGCACAAUCAGCCCGAUGAUAAAUAAUUGUACCACCUCCGCAGAGGCUUGGAAUAAACUGGAAUCGAGUUUUGCUAAUCAUUCCAACACCUGAAUGCUCUCUAUUAUGUCAUCUCUUAUGUUAAACAAAAAGGAAGGCAAGAGAAUAGCUACAUAUAUAAGUAGGGUGAAAAGCCUUACUAAUGAUCUUGCAGCCAUUGGACACCCUUUAAAUGAUGCUCAAAUCAUGUCCUAUACUUUAAAUGGAUUGGGUGACGAAUUUAAAGAAUUGACAGCAGCGAUCCGUAUUCGUGACACACCCAUAAUCUUUGAAGAUCUCUAUGAUAAAUUCCUUGGUGAGGAAUUAAUUCGCAACCAUGGAGAGGCAAAGGAAGAUGAAGUUCAAGUCACUGCACAGCUGACAAAAAAAUGUCGUGGUGGUUGAGGAGGAAAUCGUAUUGGUCAAGGAAGCUAUUGUGGUGGCUACAACAACAAUAUUCAUGGUUCAGACAGCAAUUUAUAUGGGCAGAAUUCUCAACCUAAUCAUAUGAAAACUAAUUGGCAAAGAACUUCUUAUGGACGAGGUUUGGAUUUAUCUCAUCUCUAGUCAUACUCACCUUCAAGAAAUCCAAAUCUUCAUCAGAGGAACCAAGGCCAACCUCGUAUUAUCUGUCAACUAUGUGAUAAACGGAGGCAGUGCAUGGACCAAUCGCUCUCGUGGACAGCCUUAUUCUCAUUCUCCUCGGCCUGAAGCAAAUCUUGUCGAAGGAGAAUCAAGUUAUUCUAGUAACAAUUGGGUUCUAGAUUCCGAAGCCACGCAUCACAUUACUUUUGAUCUCCAAAAUCUCUCUAUGCACUCUGGUUAUGUUGGAAAUGAGGAUUUUGUAGUGGGUAAUGGUAAUGGCAUCUCUAUCUCUCAUGUUGGUUCUUCUUUCAUUGAUUCACCUAUGCCUCUUUUACAUUAGAUAAUGUUUUGUAUGCAUCCUCAAUAAAAAGGAACUUAAUAUCUAUAUCCCAAUUCUGCAAACAAAAUAAUACUUCAAUUGAGUUUUUUUCUAACUAUUUUCUUGUGAAGGAUUUGAAUACAGGGACGUCCUUGGUAAAAGGCCAGAGUGGACACAACUUGUAUGAGCAGGCAUCCUCAACCUCAACUACAAAGCCAUCAUUCCUCACUCCUUCUGUCUCAAUUGCUCUCUCCUCUCAACUAUGGUACCAAUGUCUUGAUCAUCCUUCUCCUCCAAUUCAAAAGAAGAUUCUAGCUAGUAAUAAAAUUCCUUCAACGGAUUCCCCUAAAAAUAAAGUUCGCGAUUCUUGUCUUUGUAACAAAAGUCAUAAAUUGUUAUUUUGAAAUUCUUCCAUUAUCUGUAAUAAACCAUUUCAAGUUAUUUAUUCAGAUGUUUGGGGUCUAGCUCCUGUGACUUCAUUUGGAAAUUUUCGAUACUAUGUCAUUUUUAUUGAUUACUUCACAAAGUACACCUAGUUAUAUCCUCUAAAGUUAAAAUUUGAUGUGUUUAAGGUUUUUGAAAACUACUUUCACACAAAAAUAAAAACUAUAUACACAAAUGGUGGUGGAGAGUAUCAAGUACUUUCUCAUUUUUUAACCUAACACGGAAUUCAACAUCUUACUUCUCAUCCCUAUACACCAGAAUAUGUUGGCUCCACUGAAUGUAAACAUCGUCACAUUAUGGAAACUGGCCUCACGCUUUUCCACAAUGCUGCUAUCCCUCUUCGCUUUUGGUCACAUGCCUUCCAAAGUGCAGUUUACCUCAUUAAUAGAAUGCCUACACCAGUUCUAAACCACGAUACACCUUAUCAUAAAUUAUUUGGCCAUAAACCCAAAUACACUUCUCUUAGAG
rnacentral:lncRNA from 1 species